UGCCUUAGUAACGGCGAGUGAAGCGGCAAAAGCUCAAAUUUGAAAUCUGGCACCUUCGGUGUCCGAGUUGUAAUUUGAAGAAGGUAACUUUGGAGUUGGCUCUUGUCUAUGUUCCUUGGAACAGGACGUCACAGAGGGUGAGAAUCCCGUGCGAUGAGAUGCCCAAUUCUAUGUAAAGUGCUUUCGAAGAGUCGAGUUGUUUGGGAAUGCAGCUCUAAGUGGGUGGUAAAUUCCAUCUAAAGCUAAAUAUUGGCGAGAGACCGAUAGCGAACAAGUACAGUGAUGGAAAGAUGAAAAGAACUUUGAAAAGAGAGUGAAAAAGUACGUGAAAUUGUUGAAAGGGAAGGGCUUGAGAUCAGACUUGGUAUUUUGCGAUCCUUUCCUUCUUGGUUGGGUUCCUCGCAGCUUACUGGGCCAGCAUCGGUUUGGAUGGUAGGAUAAUGACUAAGGAAUGUGGCUCUACUUCGGUGGAGUGUUAUAGCCUUGGUUGAUACUGCCUGUCUAGACCGAGGACUGCGUCUUUUGACUAGGAUGUUGGCAUAAUGAUCUUAAGCCACCCGUCUUGAAACACGGACCAAGGAGUCUAACGUCUAUGCGAGUGUUUGGGUGUAAAACCCGUACGCGUAAUGAAAGUGAACGUAGGUGAGAGCUCUUAAGAGUGCAUCAUCGACCGAUCCUGAUGUCUUCGGAUGGAUUUGAGUAAGAGCAUAGCUGUUGGGACCCGAAAGAUGGUGAACUAUGCCUGAAUAGGGUGAAGCCAGAGGAAACUCUGGUGGAGGCUCGUAGCGGUUCUGACGUGCAAAUCGAUCGUCGAAUUUGGGUAUAGGGCGAAA
rnacentral:rRNA from 1 species